AGUGAACGCUGGCGGCAGGCCUAACACAUGCAAGUCGAACGGCAGCACAGCAGUAGCAAUACUGUGGGUGGCGAGUGGCGGACGGGUGAGGAAUACAUCGGAAUCUGCCUAGUCGUGGGGGAUAACGUAGGGAAACUUACGCUAAUACCGCAUACGACCUACGGGUGAAAGCGGGGGAUCGCAAGACCUCGCGCGAUUAGAUGAGCCGAUGUCCGAUUAGCUAGUUGGCGGGGUAAGAGCCCACCAAGGCGACGAUCGGUAGCUGGUCUGAGAGGAUGAUCAGCCACACUGGAACUGAGACACGGUCCAGACUCCUACGGGUGGCAG
rnacentral:rRNA from 1 species